CCUACGGGUGGCAGCAGUGGGGAAUAUUGCACAAUGGUCGCAAGCCUGAUGCAGCCAUGCCGCGUGUGUGAAGAAGGCCUUCGGGUUGUAAAGCACUUUCAGCGGGGAGGAAGGCGUUAAGGUUAAUAACCUUGGCGAUUGACGUUACCCGCAGAAGAAGCACCGGCUAACUCCGUGCCAGCAGCCGCGGUAAUACGGAGGGUGCAAGCGUUAAUCGGAAUUACUGGGCGUAAAGCGCACGCAGGCGGUCUGUCAAGUCGGAUGUGAAAUCCCCGGGCUCAACCUGGGAACUGCAUUCGAAACUGGCAGGCUAGAGUCUUGUAGAGGGGGGUAGAAUUCCAGGUGUAGCGGUGAAAUGCGUAGAGAUCUGGAGGAAUACCGGUAGCGAAGGCGGCCCCCUGGACAAAGACUGACGCUCAGGUGCGAAAGCGUGGGGAGCAAACAGGAUUAGAUACCCCUGUAGUC
rnacentral:rRNA from 1 species